UACGGAGGAUGCAAGCGUUAUCCGGAUUUAUUGGGUUUAAAGGGUGCGUAGGCGGAACGGUAAGUCAGUGGUGAAAUCCUGUUGCUUAACAACAGAACUGCCAUUGAUACUGCCGAUCUUGAGUACAUUUGAUGUGGGCGGAAUGUGUCGUGUAGCGGUGAAAUGCUUAGAUAUGACACAGAACACCGAUUGCGAAGGCAGCUCACAAAACUGUAACUGACGCUGAGGCACGAAAGCGUGGGUAUCAAACAGG
rnacentral:rRNA from 1 species